ACUAACGUGUGAAAUCUGCAAUGGAAUAGGAUCCCAAGCCCCUCUGAGGAAUAACAUAGGCUAACCUAUCCAACUCUCAUCCGGACACGUCCCAGUUCGUGCAGAGUGGAUACUUGGGUAUGAAUAUUGAUAUCCAAGCUUGGGUACAGGGACUUGUUCCAACCCCUUGGGUAGAUGAUGGCGCAUGGCUUAUCAGGAGUUG
rnacentral:ribozyme from 1 species